AUGAAACAGGGCAGAAGAUGAAAAAGACUUCAAAAUAAGCUAAGAGGAAGCCUGGAAAAAGGGAAGUGAAAUUGUCAAAAAUAACAGGAAGAGGGCUGAAGAAAGGCUUACUUAUAAAGACGCUCGACUGAAUUAAAUUUGUUUCUAUGGAAUGCAGAAAUAAGUGGAAAGUAAAUAAACUGUAGAUUUUUAGAAAGGCUGGCAAAAACAGGUCAUGCCUUCCAACAUACUUUGUUUUGCCAUAUCAAACAUAUCCAAGAUGUUUUAUUCAUUGAAGAUUGUAUGGACUUUCAUUUACUCUCCUUUGCUGCAGCCCAGAUUCUCAUUCUAUCAAAAUCCUGUUUGAAACAUCAUACUGAGAUAGCAACAGAUAAUUAAACAAUUUGAUAUUUUAAUUAUUUUACCUGUUCAGUAGAGUUAUAAUCAUAAUGAUUUACAAGUACAUAUUUUUAGUGAGAGACGGAGUUUGAUUAAAAAUGGGGAAGGAUCAUAUCUACAUGCUCUGACUCUGAAGCCAAUUAUUUCAUAAAAUGUGGGAGACAUUGACCAAUGAGCUGCAAUUGCUGAGCUACUUGAACCAUAGCAUCUGAGACGAAGGUGAAAUGGGGACGUGUCUCUGUGGGUGUUUUAAAUAUCUUGUUUACUGUGUCAUCUCCACGGCAACAAAAACAAACUUCCUGUUUACAUUUAACAUACCCUUUGUCAGGUGGUGUUACUGCUCUGACAAAGCUCCACCCUCAUGCAAGCAGAAAUCAUGCUGCUGCCAUGCGCAUUGACAUGCAGCGCCGUUGCAACAUGCAUGUGCAAUAUCAGUUCUUCAAAAGUGGAAAAGAGCAGGAAUGCACAGCUUCAACAAACACUCAGCCCUGCUGCUGUUUGGUGUAGCCUGCAGACAUUUUGGUUUAAAUAAAACCCAGAAUGCUGAGGUAAGAUCCAGCUAAACCAGACUGAAUAGAAGUCACAGACAAUUUUCUGACACCGUAAAUCAUAGUUGAACCAAAAUUUAGCAAAAUCAUCUAUUUGGAUCCAUUUUUCUUAUGUUUUCAUUUUCAGAUCAAAUAAUUUUUAAUAUCAGACAAAGACUCUACAAGUAAAAACUAAACGCCAUCUUGUAAUUUGGACAAUAGAAGCUGUCCAAACCAACAUGGUCAAAUGUAAUAAUAUUAUGCCUUCCUUGUUAAAUAGUGAAUUAAUUGUAAUAAACCGUAUUUACUGGUUAUUUUACUAGCCAUACCCAAGCCUGAGCUGUAGAAUCAAACACUUAAAACAGGGAAUUUAAUAACAGAUAAGAAACUUGUGUCUCUGCCAUCCAAAGUACCAACUUUAAAAGGGUAAAAUAGUCAUUUCUGAAGCGAACAAAAGUAAGGGUAACAAAAAAAAAUCCUAAGUAUUGGUUCUUCACGUUUGAUUCUUGUUCUGGGUUGUCAAGUACUCCACAAUUUAUAAAUAACAGGGGUUUCUCCAAGUCUUGCUCCGAUAUUAUUAAAAGUAUAGAGCUAAAUAGACCAACAUUAUUUACAUAAUGAACUAAAUGUACUUUAUUUAGUUCCAUCAUUACUUCCAAAAACCACAAAAUGUGCAUCAGUUCAGUUGAAGAAGCUGAAUUGGAAAUGCAGCCUGAGGUGAAUCACACCGACAUGUAUGGACAAAAACAGGCAAACGGAAACAGAGCGGAGGGGCGAGGCAAGGGAAAUAUGUUGACUUCAGUAAAACACAAAUAAAGCUGGGAUACUCCGAGGCCUAGACUGUAGGCGUAAUCUCAGAAAUUUACCUGGGUGGACAAGCACAAAAUAAUGCAAGGUUUUCAAAUUUGUUUUAAAAUAAAAAUCUAAACAUGUGGCGUAAAGAAUUCUUCCACCGCCUCUUGCUGGAAAUUGAAUCAUUUCACAGUGGGAUGGUGUCAUCAGCAUGAUGUGCAGUUAGUUUUCCUAUGUUCAGGGGACUGAUAGCAAAAACUAAGAUGUUGAAGCUUGGUAUUUACUACUGAUCCCACUGGUUUUGGUCUUAAUAAUGUGGUUUAUUCAAUAUUGUUCUACAACAAUCCCCUAAGACCUUCACAGAACAGCUUUGAUUAAGCUGGGAUUAAAUAUUACACACGAUCAGUUCAUUUACUAAUUAGAUAACAACUUGAGGCAACUGGAGGCACCUGAUUUAAUUUAGCGGUUUCAGAGAAUGGAGUGAAGAAGAAUAUAAAUAUGUUUUUUGCUUUGUCAAACGUAGAAAAGGUCAGGUAGUGAGAAUACUUAUGCACUGAGUUGGGCAGUAACUAGCUACAUUUACUCAGAUGCAUUUACUUGAAUAACGUUUU